UACGUAGGGUGCAAGCGUUAAUCGGAAUUACUGGGCGUAAAGCGUGCGCAGGCGGUUUUGUAAGACUGACGUGAAAUCCCCGGGCUCAACCUGGGAAUGGCGUUGGUGACUGCAAGGCUAGAGUUUGGCAGAGGGGGGUAGAAUUCCACGUGUAGCAGUGAAAUGCGUAGAUAUGUGGAGGAAUACCGGUGGCGAAGGCGGCAUCCUGGACCGGCAUUGACGCUGAUGAGCGAAAGCCAGGGGAGCAAACGGG
rnacentral:rRNA from 1 species